UUACGGCUCAGUAACACGUGGACAACCUAACCUAUGGAGGGGGAUAACCCCGGGAAACUGGGGAUAAUACCCCAUAGACUAUGGAUGCUGGAAUGCUCUGUAGUUGAAAGGUCCGCCGCCAUAGGAUGGGUCUGCGGCCGAUUAGGUUGUUGUUGGGGUAACGGCCCAACAAGCCUGUAAUCGGUACGGGUUGUGGGAGCAAGAGCCCGGAGAUGGAUUCUGAGACACGAAUCCAGGCCCUACGGGGCGCAGCAGGCGCGAAAACUUUACAAUGCGGGAAACCGUGAUAAGGGAACUCCGAGUGCCCGUAAAAUCGGGCUGUCCAUCUGUUUAAAUAACAGGUGAAGAAAGGGCCGGGCAAGACCGGUGCCAGCCGCCGCGGUAAUACCGGCGGCUCGAGUGGUGGCCACUAUUACUGGGCUUAAAGCGUUCGUAGCUGGUUUGUUAAGUCUCUGGGGAAAUCUGCCGGCUCAACCGGCAGGCGUUCCAGGGAUACUGGCAGACUAGGGACCGGGAGAGGUGAGGGGUACUCCAGGGGUAGGAGUGAAAUCCUGUAAUCCUUGGGGGACCACCUGUGGCGAAGGCGCCUCACCAGAACGGCUCCGACAGUGAGGGACGAAAGCUGGGGGAGCAAACCGGAUUAGAUACCCGGGUAGUCCCAGCCGUAAACGAUGCGCGUUAGGUGUAUCGGUGACCACGAGUCACCGAGGUGCCGAAGAGAAAUCGUG
rnacentral:rRNA from 1 species